rnacentral:rRNA from 1 species
AGACCGAUAGCGAACAAGUACAGUGAUGGAAAGAUGAAAAGAACUUUGAAAAGAGAGUGAAAAAGUACGUGAAAUUGUUGAAAGGGAAGGGCUUGAGAUCAGACUUGGUAUUUUGCAUGCUGCUCUCUCGGGGGCGGCCGCUGCGGUUUACCGGGCCAGCAUCGGUUUGGAGCGGCAGGAUAAUGGCGGAGGAAUGUGGCACGGCUUCUGCUGUGUGUUAUAGCCUCUGACGAUACUGCCAGCCUAGACCGAGGACUGCGGUUUUUAACCUAGGAUGUUGGCAUAAUGAUCUUAAGUCGCCCGUCUUGAAACACGGACCAAG